AGCAGUCGCCACGGUAAUACAUAGGUGGCAAGCGUUGUCCGGAAUUAUUGGGCGUAAAGCGCGCGCAGGCGGAUAGGUCAGUCUGUCUUAAAAGUUCGGGGCUUAACCCCGUGAUGAGAUGGAAACUGCCAAUCUAGAGUAUCGGAGAGGAAAGUGGAAUUCCUAGUGUAGCGGUGAAAUGCGUAGAUAUUAGGAAGAACACCAGUGGCGAAGGCGACUUUCUGGACGAAAACUGACACUGAGGCACGAAAGCGUGGGGGGCAAACAGGAUUAGAUACCCCCGUAGUCCCUGUCUCUUAUACA
rnacentral:rRNA from 1 species